UUUUACCAAGCUCAGUUCUGACAAGGGGCACACAAAGAUUAUAAUUAUAUAUUUUAUUAUUCGCCUACAUGUCCUAUGAUCAUUAACCGACAUCAGAGAAACACGAACAUGAGGAUGUGCUGUUAAAUUGUUGAAAUAUUAAUUUAAAAUCUCCGGGGACUUCGAGAAGAUGUUUUAUGUUCUGUAGUCAAGAAAAGACUGUUAAGCACUGUUAUGCAUGCACACAGCAUAUGAAAGAGGAUGAUGUGAGUUUGUGCUAAACAGAAAACAAAGCGUGAAAUCAGUCAAUUAAAAUCUCCUAGCGCCCCAGGACACGUAAACGCAUGCGUAAACCCUACAAAUAGCAGCAUCUGCGCACUCCAGCUCAGUAGGUGGCGAUACUUUAUCUAUAAGCUGAUUUGCCAACUGCUAAUAAUCGUUAGAAGAAAACAACGACGACCAACCAGUCCGUCUUUCAAACAAAAACACGUGCAGAAAAUGAACAAGAAAAAGCCUCAAAAACGCUAUUGGGAGGAAACAGAAAACACAGACCAAAGGAGACCAGAGGAAGACAAUGUAGAAACAGAGCUGAAGUUAGGCGGAUGUUACCAAUGAAAAUAAACAAAAAAGACAGGAAUAGAAUGAAGAAGACAUUUGUGACUGUCUGUAUUUCAAAGAACUAGAAUUUUCUUUAUCAUGGACAGUCUAAUUUGUUAUUUACCCAACAAGGUAAACAUUUAUGAAUUUGAUUGGCUUUUUCUCACUUAGCCUCAAAAACGCUAUUGGGAGGAAACAGAAAACACAGACCAAAGGAGACCAGAGGAAGAACAAGAUACAGCUGGUCAGAACCAGAAUAAAUCAACAGUAAAAGAAAGGUCAUUAAAAAGGAUGAAUGGUGAAAGUUUGGAGGUAAGAAUAUUUUUCCAUUAAUUACAUUUACAUUUAGUCAUUUAGCAGAUGCUUUUAUCCAAAGCGAAUUACAAAUGAGGACAAUAGAAGCAAUCAAAACUAACAAAAGGGCAACAAUAUGUAAGUGCAAAUGACAAGUCUCGGUUAGCCUAACGCAGUAGAAUCAAAAAUCUUGUAGUGUAUAAUAUAUUUGACCCUGGACCACAAAACCAGUCCUAAGUGUCAAUUUUUCACAAUUGAGAUUUAUACAUCAUCUUAAAGCUGAAUAAAUAAGCUUUUCAUAAUGUAUGGUUUAUUAGGAUCGGAAAAUAUUUGGCCGAGAUACAACUAUUUGAAAAUCUGGAAUCUGAGGGUGCAAAAAAAUCAAAAUACUGAGAAAUUCGCCAUUGAAGUUGUCCAAAUGAAUUCUUAGCAAUGCAUAUUAUUAAUCAAAAAUUAAGUUUUGAUAUAUUUAUGGUAGGAAAUUUACAAAAUAUCUUCAUGGAACAUGAUCUUUACUUAAUAUCUCUCUGAAGUAAUAAAUUUAGGUAGAGCCAGUGGUGGUUUUGUAGGCAAACAUUAAUGCCUUGAAUUUUAUGCGAGUAGCUACUGGUGGCCAGUGCAAAUCGAUAAACAGAGGUGUGACAUGCGUUCUUUUCGGCUCAUUAAAGAUGUUAAAGUUGUAUAAGGCAAAGUUGUAUAAGGCAAAUCUGCAGGACCAGGCAGUUUUAGCAAUGUAGUCUGAGAAAUUCAGGUUAUCAUCAAUCAUAACUCCAAGGUUUCUGGCUGUUUUUGAAGGAGUUAUGGUUGAUGUGCCUAACUGGAUGGUGAAAUUUUGGUAAAGUAAUGGGUUUGUUGAAACCACAAGCAGUUCUGUCUUAGCCAGGUUGAGUUGAAGGUGAUGGUCCUACAUCCAGCAAGAAAUGUGAUGCGAGCAGCUACCGAUGGAUCAUCAGAAUGGAAUGAGAGGUAGAGCUGAGUGUCAUCAGCAUAGCAGUGAUAUAAAAAGCCAUGUUUCUGAAUGACAGAACUUAGCGAUGCUAUGUAGACAGAGAAGAGAAGUGGUCCAAGAACUGAGCCCUGAGGCACCCCAGUAGCUAGAUGUUGCGACUUAGACACCUCACCUCUCCAAGAUACCUUGAAGGAACUAUCUGAGAGGUAAGACUCAAACC
rnacentral:lncRNA from 1 species